rnacentral:rRNA from 1 species
UCGGGAAUUUUGGGCAAUGGGCGAAAGCCUGACCCAGCAACGCCGCGUGAAGGAUGAAGUAUUUCGGUAUGUAAACUUCGUAAGAAUAGGAAGAAUAAAUGACGGUACUAUUUGUAAGGUCCGGCUAACUACGUGCCAGCAGCCGCGGUAAUACGUAGGGACCAAGCGUUGUUCGGAUUUACUGGGCGUAAAGGGCGCGUAGGCGGCGUGGUAAGUCAUCUGUGAAAUCUCCGAGCUUAACUCGGAACGGUCAGAUGAUACUGCUGUGCUAGAGUACAGAAGGGGCAAUCGGAAUUCUUGGUGUAGCGGUGAAAUGCGUAGAUAUCAAGAGGAACACCUGAGGUGAAGACGGGUUGCUGGGCUGAUACUGACGCUGAGGCGCGAAAGCUAGGGUAGCAAACGGGAUUAGAUACCCGAGUAGUCCCUGAGCGGGCUGGCAAGGCGCAU